AUUGAUGAGGAACGGGUUUUUAUUUUAUUUGCCAUUCUUCUAUUAGAUAGAGAGGGAGGAGAGAGUUCAAGAUGGCGGUGACAGCUACAUAUUGAUAGGAUCUUUGGAAGGGGGUGGGCAACCCUUUUUAGCCCAAGCACUGCAUUCCCUUAUGUACAACCUUCUGAGGGCAACAUGUUGGUAAUGGGAGGUGCCAAAAGGUACAAAGGUACCAUUUUUGCCUUUCUACAGUAGGGUAGUUUCUGCACAUACUCACACACCCUCCUCUAACAUCUAUCCAGACAAGCAAGAGACAUGACCAGAGCUCAAAGAUGCAUUCCAGGCCAACCCCUGAUCAAAGAUUGACUACUGCAGUGCAUUGUGUAUGGGGCUUCCUUUGGAGACUGCUCAGAAACUGGAAAGUGAGUUCUAAAAACACAGCUGCAGGGAAAUUCAGGAAUCUGGACUUGAGCUCUUGAACUGCCACAUGAAGUCACUGACAUACAGUUAAGGCAGUACACCUGGAUAUGAGAGAGAACAGGAGUGUAGAGCUGUGCUUGAAUGGCUUCCUUGACCAAACAAAAAACAGCCAGCCCUCCGUUCUCCCCAGUUUACUAGUUCUAAUUAGCAACAUCAAUAAGCAAUCAACAGCCUGUUCUGUCUCUAGGGAUUUCUGUGUUGCAAGGGGAGAAACAAUAAUUUUGAGAUCUGUAUUAAGGAAACAAAUGAAUUUAAAAACAAAUAUUAUUGAUUAACAGA